AACAGGAUUAGAUACCCUGGUAGUCCACGCCCUAAACGAUGUCUACUAGUUGUCGGGUCUUAAUUGACUUGGUAACGCAGCUAACGCGUGAAGUAGACCGCCUGGGGAGUACGGUCGCAAGAUUAAAACUCAAAGGAAUUGACGGGGACCCGCACAAGCGGUGGAUGAUGUGGAUUAAUUCGAUGCAACGCGAAAAACCUUACCUACCCUUGACAUGGCAGGAAUCCCGGAGAGAUCUGGGAGUGCUCGAAAGAGAACCUGCACACAGGUGCUGCAUGGCUGUCGUCAGCUCGUGUCGUGAGAUGUUGGGUUAAGUCCCGCAACGAGCGCAACCCUUGUCAUUAGUUGCUACGCAAGAGCACUCUAAUGAGACUGCCGGUGACAAACCGGAGGAGGGUGGGGAUGACGUCAAGUCCUCAUGGCCCUUAUGGGUAGGGCUUCACACGUCAUACAAUGGUACAUACAGAGGGCCGCCAACCCGCGAGGGGGAGCUAAUCCCAGAAAGUGUAUCGUAGUCCGGAUUGUAGUCUGCAACUCGACUACAUGAAGUUGGAAUCGCUAGUAAUCGCGGAUCAGCAUGUCGCGGUGAAUACGUUCCCGGGUCUUGUACACACCGCCCGUCACACCAUGGGAGCGGGUUUUACCAGAAGUAGGUAGCUUAACCGCAAGGAGGGCGCUUACCACGGUAGGAUUCGUGACUGGGGUGAAGUCGUAACAAGGUAACC
rnacentral:rRNA from 1 species